ACAAGAAAGGAAACUCUAAAAAGUCUAUACCACCGUUCCAUUGCCCAAUUAGCUCAAUCCUUGGCAACCGUCCCAACAGCUGCAAUUAAUUUCAAUUUCCGACGGUUCCAAAGUGUAGAGAGAAGUGAAUAGCGUUUCCUUUCAUCUUUCACAGUAACUCUCUCUUGCUCUGUUCCUUACCACCGCUUCACCUUCUUUAGUCUGGUUCCCUUGCUCUCUCCACUGUCAUCUAAUGCUCCGCAUACGAAGGGACUCCCUCCUCCAGGUAAAAGGACUCACCCCCUCUCAGUUUUUCUUUCUCAAUCACGUGGGCUAACUCAUUGGACGAUCUUGGUAUAUGGUUGAAAAAGAUCUAUUGAAAUUUGUCUCUCAACUGAUGUAUUUUUUUAUAUAAGCAUCGAUUACUGAUGUAUCCAGAUGUAUUACCGACUUUUCUUAACUGUUGACAAUGAAUCGCCCUCGAUUAUUACUCGCACCCAACCUCAUUUUAUACCAGUUUGCACUGCUCGAUGACAAAACCCCUUUAUGGGUCUCCGCUCGUGAAAGUACCACUUCCCCUUAAACAUUCCUUGCCAUAAUACCUGAAGCCGAUCGUAAUAUUUAUCCGUCAAAAGCGCCAUCAAAGUUGAUUUUAAUGGUUGAACCCAUGGUACCCACCAGCACACCAAUCCAGUUUCUUUUAUAGCCCAGAGUGCGUAGCAGAAAAGCCGUCGCUAAGUGAUAGAACAUGCAUCAAAUACCCCAGUAAGCCAAUGUCCAAAUCCCCAAUCUUGAUUACUUAAGACAUGCGAUAAUUUAAGAUCUGACCAUACUUCAAUUGUUCAAGGCAUACUCGAAACAAAUGAUCCAUUGUUUCCUCCUCCCUUCCGCACCGAGGACAACAUGAUGUAUUCACAAGUUUAUUAUAUUUCAUGUUAGCUAAAGUAAUUCCAAUAAAUUUUUCAGAUUGUAAUUUCCUAGGGAGGUUUAGGCUCCAUAGCUUUUUUGUAGAAAUCACUAGAAAUUAUUUGUAAAGUGUAAGCACUAGAAACUCCCAAAAUCUUCUGUAAUAGUUUAUAAGCACAUCAGACAGAAAACUCCCAUGAAGACUCACCUCCCCACACCAACCAAUCAUCAUGGGCCUCUUUUGCAAAUGGAAUAUGAAGGAUUUGAGUUGCAUCUAAUGCCGAGAAGGUGAUGGGUUUCGGAACCAUAAAAAAUAA